rnacentral:rRNA from 1 species
CCUACGGGAGGCAGCAGUGAGGAAUAUUGGUCAAUGGACGAGAGUCUGAACCAGCCAAGUAGCGUGAAGGAUGACUGCCCUAUGGGUUGUAAACUUCUUUUAUAUGGGAAUAAAAUGUUCCACGUGUGGGAUUUUGUAUGUACCAUAUGAAUAAGGAUCGGCUAACUCCGUGCCAGCAGCCGCGGUAAUACGGAGGAUCCGAGCGUUAUCCGGAUUUAUUGGGUUUAAAGGGAGCGUAGGUGGAUUGUUAAGUCAGUUGUGAAAGUUUGCGGCUCAACCGUAAAAUUGCAGUUGAAACUGGCAGUCUUGAGUACAGUAGAGGUGGGCGGAAUUCGUGGUGUAGCGGUGAAAUGCUUAGAUAUCACGAAGAACUCCGAUUGCGAAGGCAGCUCACUGGACUGCAACUGACGCUGAUGCUCGAAAGCGCGGGUAUCGAACAGGAUUAGAUACCCUAGUAGUC